rnacentral:tRNA from 1 species
UGGUCUAGUGGUUAGGAUUUGUGGCUCUCACCCACACGGCCCGGGUUCGAUUCCCGG